rnacentral:tRNA from 1 species
GCGUAGGCGUGGAACCGGAUUUCUAAUCCGAAUGUCGCAGGUUCGAGUCCUGCCGGGCGUGCCA